UAAACGACUCUCGGCAACGGAUAUCUCGGCUCUCGCAUCGAUGAAGAACGUAGCGAAAUGCGAUACUUGGUGUGAAUUGCAGAAUCCCGUGAACCAUCGAGUCUUUGAACGCAAGUUGCGCCCAAAGCCAUUAGGCCGAGGGCACGCCUGCCUGGGCGUCACACGUCGUUGGCCCCCCAACCCCCUCGGGAGUUGGGUGGGACGGAUGAUGGCCUCCCGUGUGCUCUGUCAUGCGGUUGGCAUAAAAAACAA
rnacentral:rRNA from 1 species